GGCCCGUCCGAGUCAGCCGGAUAGUUCUCGGCUCGCUGUGGGGAGCGCGUCGCGCUUAGCAGGGCAGGAGAGCCCUCAAGUUUCGACGAGUGCUCUCGGCGUGUUUGCCGUGGAAGCCGCUGAGUGAGCUCCCACCUGCACACUUGGGGAGGGAAACUUGAAAAGCUUGAGAGGGAGAGAGGUGAGGGAGUGAGGCAGCACACUCUGAACAUGACGUGAUGGACUGCAGCUUAUUCAGGGGAAGGGUAUGGCCUGCUCUGCAGGACUGUCACCAAGAUAGUGAUCUUUGUCAAGAAGACAGACCCUAAGAUCUGGAAAAAUAUCCAUCUGUGAUGCCUCCAUCCAUUUUUCAGAGUUGGAUCCCAGUGACUCAACUGAGCCAAUCAUUGGCAGGACCCCUGUUUACAGAGACAACCUGGAGAUGGUGGAGGUCCAAGAACUAAGCUGGAGGAGAAGAAAACAUGCUUAGAUAAUGUGCUACACACUGGUGGGAGUGAUGGAGGAGAGAGCUGAGCAGAGAAAAGACAGCUCAGUUUGGACACAUCUCUGAGGAGCCAGAGCAGAGCUGCCUGCAUUGGAAAAGGGUGUGAUGUCUGCAGCACAGGUACUCUUGACCAGACUGCUUGUCAGCCAACAGCCUUCCUGACAGUUGUGACACUCCUGGGAAGAAACCCUACUGGCUGCCUCUGCUGGUUCCUGCUCCAGCCCUGCUCUCAUCCCUGAUGUGACUACUCUCUUCAAUCCAUGCUGGAACUGAGGUGACCUGCAUUCAUGGGCAUCUUCAUGCAACCGCACAGGCAGAUAGAUCUCCAUGGCCUUCAUGCCCAAGUGGACUGAAAUCCAACAUCUCCCAUGUACGCUUCUACCCCGUCUUCAGCGACGUAACUUGUAUUCCUGAAGUUGUCUAUCUCAGAGUCCCUGACACCAUAGUGAUGGACAUCAUUCAGGAACAGAUACAGAUGACCCAGUAGCUGAGUGCCUGAGCAACUCCCUCUUAUCAUACGCAUGGAGAAAAUGAAUGGAAAAAUUGGAAUGGAGAAAAUGGAAAAUCCAUGGUGCUGAACUGCUUUCUGUUUUUCUCAGGAGAGGAACUUCAGGCAAUGUGUCUGUAAAGCACUGAGCAGCUUCUACUCUUCCUGACCCCACCAAUUUCCUCUGCACAAACUAUCCAUAUGGAUUUGACAUGUGGCCUCUGAGAGGCCCUGAGGCCUCAUAUGUCUCAGUAAGUCAAAACGCAUGGGGCAGAGAAGCCAUGUCCCUGCCUAAGCUUCUCCAAGUCCCUCAGGGUCAAGUUAAGUGCAAGCCUGAUCCUGUUCUCUGAAUCAGGCUUGCCUGAUGCACACUUUAAUCUGCCCAGCCUCACCAGGUUUGGUUUCAUCUCAGCUGCAGAGCUCAAAAGGAGGUGGCCCCUGUUUUGCUCCAUGGGGUCCUGGGCAGCUCAGCAUCCCCACCAGACCAGGGGCACAUCUCCAUGGCUGGCCCACCCUCACCAGCUUCAAGCCCUGGGGCUGGGGCAGGAGUUCGAGAAACAAGAGGGCUGUGGGACUUGAGGGCUUCUCUGGAGUCAUGUACCCCUUUUAGUGUUUCUGUGAGUCUGCUUCUGCCCUCAGACCCGGGGGCUUAACAGUACUUCCCUGCUCCACAGGGAUGCCAGGGUGAGUCAAUCCAUUAAAAGCUGCACACUGCUGAGACACCAAGCCUACAGCUACAUAGAAUAAUAAAACAGUCCAGGGAGUGUUUUCCACUCCCAAGACCCACUGGCAUUCCCAGCCAUCCCCAGGGAGACAAGCUCCUGUCCCCCAGAGCAGGAGAGCUGUGCCCAAGCCACCUGCUGAGAACCACCCCGGCUCCUGAAACAUGCCUGGAGUAUUUCCUUGGUCUGGGACAAACUCCUGCAAGGACAAUGCCAACCAUUUAACUGUAUAGGCAACUGCCUGGGCCUGUGCCUUGCUUCCUCUUUAUUAAUUUAUUAGUACCUUGCUGCUAGCCUACACUUGUACAGACAGAGAGCUUGCCAUGAAAAAGGACAAUAAAGUGCCUGUGAGGGGAAAGUUCAAGGCAUUAUA